GCCGCGUGCAGGAUGACAGCCUAUGGGUCGUAAACUGCUUUUGUACGGGAAUAAACCCUUCUACGUGUAGAAGGCUGAAGGUACCGUAAGAAUAAGGAUCGGCUAACUCCGUGCCAGCAGCCGCGGUAAUACGGAGGAUCCAAGCGUUAUCCGGAUUCAUUGGGUUUAAAGGGUGCGUAGGCGGAUUUGUAAGUCAGGGGUGAAAGCCAACAGCUUAACUGUUGAAUUGCCCUUGAUACUGCCAAUCUUGAGUAUAUUUGAAGUGGGCGGAAUGUGUCAUGUAGCGGUGAAAUGCAUAGAUAUGACACAGAACACCGAUUGCGUAGGCAGCUCACUAAACUAUAACUGACGCUGAGGCACGAAAGCGUGGGGAUCAAACAGGAUUAGAUACCCUGGUAGUCCACGCCGUAAACUAUGAUUACUCGAUGUUGGCGAUACACAGUCAGCGUCUAAGCGAAAGCGUUAAGUAAUCCACCUGGGGAGUACGGUCGCAAGAUUGAAACUCAAAGGAAUUGACGGGGGCCCGCACAAGCGGAGGAGCAUGUGGUUUAAUUCGAUGAUACGCGAGGAACCUUACCAGGGCUUGAAAGUUAGUGACCGACCCUGAAAGGGGUCUUUCAGCAAUGACACAAAACUAGGUGCUGCAUGGCUGUCGUCAGCUCGUGCCGUGAGGUGUUGGGUUAAGUCCCGCAACGAGCGCAACCCCUAUCUUUAGUUGCCAGCGGGUAAUGUCGGGGACUCUAAAGAAACUGCCCGCGUAAGCGUGAGGAAGGUGGGGAUGACGUCAAGUCAGCACGGCCCUUACGUCCUGGGCUACACACGUGCUACAAUGGUCGAUACAAAGGGCAGCUACAUGGUGACAUGAUGCAAAUCUCUAAAGUCGAUCUCAGUUCGGAUCGAAGUCUGCAACUCGACUUCGUGAA
rnacentral:rRNA from 1 species